rnacentral:misc_RNA from 1 species
UACAAGUCAGCGAAUAUCGUCGAUAGCUAUGAUUUCUAUUAAACGAUAAAGGCGCAGUUGGCAAAGGUAUUGCGGCGGAACUGUUUCGAACGCCGUAAACCGUACGUAUUUAAAUUCAUAGUCGUGACUAUAACCGUGACUCGUGGAAAAUUACGUUACUUUCUUUACGGUUGUUCCUGCCGCGUGACCGGCGGAAGAAAUGCGCAGCCACUUGAAAAUUCUUACAUCAAACGCGCGCACGCUCGUUCUCCAUCUUCCCCUCUACGCGAGACGUUUCUCACAAUCGCAUUCGCGAAAAAGCUAUUCCCAAAACGAACCCCUGCCAAACGUUAAACACCCAAAGCAACCCCCUGC